CGGAACCGUGUCAGUCUUCCGCGUCAUUCACCCUUCGUGGUUGUUCGGCGCUGCUACAGAUCCCCGGCUGUCGGAGCCGCGUAGCUCCCUAACACAGAGCGGCGUGAUCGCCCGAGCGGUCUCCUUCACGGCGACGUCAGUAACCGGUUCGAGUGGGACUGGGCGGUCGUACCGGAGGAUCUCGGCCCCCGUUAUCAGUCCAACUAGCUGCUGUUUUGCCUUCACGCCUUCUGCCUCCCUCGGUUUGCGUACAUGUGUUUUUUGGACUGCGUUGCCUCAAUUGUUUUGGGCCGGACCGCCUGCACCGUUGUGCUCGGACGGCUUUACCCGGAUGAACAAUUUUAGCGUGACGUUCGAUCUUCUCCUUCCCCUUGACUUAUUGGGUCGACGGAGUCAUCAUCUUGUUUUCUUUAUUGUUUAGUUUGUUCUGUAUUUGUGUUUCUUUAUAACCGGGUGAGUGACCCCGGUUGUAUGUACGCGUGUUUUUAACAUUGUGUUGGUGGUGGUGUGGUGUCCCGGUGGUGGUGUCCCGGUGGUGGUGUCCCGGUGGUGGUGUCCCUGACGACAGCAAACAGCUCGUUUGCUGUCGUCAUUUGCUUUGCUGUGCUCACUAUUUUGUUUUUGUGUUCCCGAGUGUCUUCUCUUGAAACCUCCCCCGCUGCCCUCGUGUCCCUCCACAACCACCGGUAAGCCUCCGCGUUCAUUAUUUUGUUCAUUAUUUUGACCAUUAUUACCCCCAUUAAUUCCCCUUUUGUUGUGGAGAUUGUGAGCGUGUUUUAAAUUGUUUUAUGGAUCCUGUUAUUUUAUUGUAAUAAACAAUGUACAUUGAACCA